rnacentral:tRNA from 1 species
CGGGACGUAGCUCAAUCGGAUAGAGCGCCGCCCUCCGAAGGCGGAGGCAACGGGUUCGAUUCCCGUCGUUCCGGCCA